UCCAAAGAAAUGAUUUAAACGGCAAAAAUAAAAUCAAACAUGAAAAUUGAAAUCCAAUAUAUCAUCAUUUCCUUAUAAUAUACCAGUAUUGAAUCAACUAUAUACUGGUGAAUUACUUUCGGAUUUCGGUCUAAGGUAUCCGCACUUGUCUCCGGAAAUAUUAUACCCACACAAGUUGUCAACAUCCGUUUUUAAACUGGUCAAGGUGUUCUUCACGAUCUCCAUGGAAAAUAUUCACGCUUUCACUUUUUGCUCAGAUAAUAGAACAUUGUAAAUCUCUAACUGAAAAUACGGACCCAAAUGAAUCAAAUUCGAAAGCACGUAUGAUCACGUUUCAUGCCGAUUGCAAGUUCUCGAAAAAGGGGGGUACACAUGUAAUUUCAAUGCCCCAUAAAUUGCAAAAUAUAGGCUACUGAGGCACCACGAAUUUUGAAGAACGUCUCGGGUUCAACUCAAAAGUGGACCCCAUACUGGGCCCAUAGGCGGAUUUAGGGGGGGGGGGUGCAGGCUCCCUCUUUUGGGGAAAAAAUUUGGUUGCUUAUAUAGGGAAUCAAUGAAGCGUGACUAGAGCCCUCUUACAAAAAUGUAGGUCAGGCAGUGGGCCCCCACCUAUGAAAAUUUCUGGAUCCGCCACUAGACCCACUUUUACUGUUGGAUGUUUUAUACCAGGAUGGAGAAAGAUGUUCACUAUGAAUCAAAAAUUCAAAACAGAGGACUUUUAUAUAUCAACAAAAACAAUUGCAGUACAUGCACAUAUACAUGUAUAAAAGUACACUGUCAGCAUGGUCAGAAGAAGAAUUUUACUGGAGGAUUAAAAUUUUGAUACCUGGAAUCAGCAAUGAAUAUGAAAAUGAAAAUGAUAUAUAUUCAUGUACAGAAUGGUAACCGAGGUGGUUCAAUUGUUUUAUUAGCAGACAUUUUUGUUGAACUUAUGCAGGAUUGAAUAAAUGAAACUUAAGCUGACUAUGGGCUCAAUGUGUAGUAAAAAGAGGAUUUUGAAAUAUAUGCAAGAUUCAUCAACAUUACAAUGUGCACAAGUGAAAUAUCACCUUAUUUAGUAAAAAAAAAAUCAGAUU